rnacentral:tRNA from 1 species
AGAAAAGUAAGCUAAAUUAAGCUAAUGGGUUCAUACCCCAUUUAUAGAAUAAAUUUCUCUUUUCUA